rnacentral:pre_miRNA from 1 species
AAACCGUCCUCUAAGUUUUGCAACUGUAGCAGUUUGGCUCCCCAAGGUCAAUUUUUGGUAAAAAAAUAAAUAAUACGUGGCACCUCAUUUAAGGUGUCACGUCAGAGUAGACCGAGUCAAAAUUGGCCUUGGGGCCAAAACUGUCACAAAUGCAAAACUUAGGGGGCGGUUU